rnacentral:SRP_RNA from 1 species
ACCUGCUUCAUGGAGAGAAUGCAUCGUUGCGAUGCCCAGUUGCAGGUACGUUGCAAGUCAGGUGUCAGGAUGGGCUUGUGCAUGUCGAAGGGGGCCGUUGCAUGCAAAAAUGCGACGCUGGAACGCUCCAGGAUGAAAACGG